GGCAACAAACGGGUUAACGUAAGGCUGGGAGGCAUCUUCCACUGUCUCCGCGGGAUGAGCGAAGUUGGUAACUUUUCCAUUCAUGGAAGUGAGAAGCGCUGAGUCCUAGCCCGAGUCCUUAUUAAAGGGAAACUGACUGAGUGUCUGGGGCUGACGGGUACGACCCUUUCCAAGUUGUCCGCGGCCCGCCCCGUGCAGCCGCACGUUGGGUUCGGAGCGCUCUCCUCCGGGCUCGUUCUCAGGGUGUGGAUCCGGGAGAAUGGAGACUGGCAGAGCCAUGUGUUGUUUACCGUGGUUCUCCUGCUCCGCUCCCCUCUGCCUCCCUCGUUUUUUCUUUCUGGGCCAUUUCAUAAGUCUCCGAUAAGCGAUGCUUGGGAAGGAACUGACCUUUUAUUCCAGAAUUGCUGGAUGGGCUCGGAUCCAAGAUGAAGUUAUUUAUGGGCAUUCUGAUACCAUGGUAGAUGAACUUAAAAGUCUUUUAAGUACAAAAACCCCAAACUUUCUGAACUUCAGUUUUUGUUUGCCACCUUUCAGUCCUGUGUUAUGUCUUUCAGAGACCUAGCAAAUUAUAUUCACAGGUUUGGCGUUCGCUCCUACUUGUCAAGGUUUCCCAAAGCAGACCCAGCUGUUGACGCGGCCAAAGGAAAAGAUUAGCAACCAGAGCUGGACUGGCCAUUAUGGAGGAGGAGCUGCAGCAUUCGCACUGUGUGAAUUGUGUCAGUAGACGGUGUAUGACUAGACCAGAGCCUGGGAUUUCCUGUGACUUGAUUGGUUGUCCAUUGGUUUGUGGCGCAGUCUUCCAUUCUUGCAAAGCUGAUGAGCAUCGACUUUUAUGUCCAUUUGAACGAGUGCCUUGCUUAAAUAGUGGCUUUGGAUGUCCAUUUACAAUGGCUCGAAAUAAAGUUGCUGAACAUCUAGAAACAUGCCCCGCAAGUGUGGUGUGCUGUACAAUGGAAUGGAACCGAUGGCCAGUUAGUUAUGCAGAUCGGAAGUCAUAUGAAAAUCUAAGCAGAGAUGUUGAUGAAGUGGCACAAUUAGAUAUGGCCUUGGCCCUUCAAGACCAAAGGAUGCUCUUAGAAUCUCUCAAAGUAGCCACCAUGAUGUCAAAAGCAACUGAUAAAGUAUCACAGCCUAGAGAACAAAUAUCAGUUAAAUCAACUGUUCCAGAGAUACCACAUGCUAAUGGUUUGGUGUCUGUUGAUGAAGAAUCUUAUGGUGCACUUUAUCAAGCUACUGUAGAAACAACCAGAAGUUUGGCUGCUGCUUUAGAUAUCCUGAACACUGCCACAAGAGACAUUGGCAUGUUAAGUACAAAUCUUCCUGCUUCCUCAAAUGAAAUGAACGAAGAGCAAAAUGCCAGAGAAAGCUUACAGAAUAGGAACUUGAAAGACCAAGACCAUGUUCAUGAGGAUGAGAUAGGAGCAGUAGGUGGAAUUGACCAUAACGAUACAAAUCAGAAUGCCCAACCUGAACAAAAUGGUUCAAGUGAUUUGUUAUGUGACUUAGAUACCAGUUCUUAUGACACUUCUGCUCUUUGUAAUGGCCUUCCUUUGGAAAAUAUAUGUACACAGGUCAUAGACCAGAAUCAGAAUUUACAUGGUGAUUCUGGAGAAAGUAACUUAAUAAAUGGAGAAUGUGUAGCAUCAGAUGGCACUUCAGAACCUUCCAAUUCACUUUCAGUAGCAGCACAACUUAGGGAAGUAAUACCACCUAAUGCUUUGCCUAAUGGCACAAUUCAGCGUAUCCUCAUGCCAGAUGACGAGGAUGAAGGAGAAUUGUGUUGGAGAAAAGUAGACUUAGGAGACCUGAGGAAUGUGGAUGUCUUAUCUUUCAGUCAACCUUCAUUCAAAUUUCUUUCCAAUUCAUGUUGGUCUAAACCAAAGGAAGAUAAAGCAGUAGAUACAUCAGAUUUGGAAGUUGCAGAAGAUCCAAUGGGUCUCCAAGGAAUAGAUCUAAUCACAGCAGCAUUACUGUUUUGUCUAGGAGAUUCUCCAGGUGGAAGGGGUAUAUCUGAUAGUCGCAUGGUUGAUAUUUAUCACAUUGACUUUGGAACUCAGACUUUUUCACUCCCAUCUGCAAUAUUAGCUACAAAUACAAUGGUUGGGGAAAUAGCUUCAGCUUCAGCUUGUGAUCAUGCCAACCCACAGCUUUCAAAUCCAAGUCCUUUUCAGACCCUUGGGCUGGAUUUAGUAUUGGAAUGUGUCGCUAGGUACCAACCCAAGCAGCGUUCAAUGUUUACAUUUGUUUGUGGACAGCUAUUUAGAAGAAGAGAAUUUUCUUCACAUUUUAAGAAUGUGCAUGGUGACAUUCAUGCUGGACUCAAUGGCUGGAUGGAACAGAGGUGUCCUUUAGCAUAUUAUGGCUGUACCUAUUCUCAGCGUAGAUUUUGUCCAUCAACACAAGGAGCAAAGAUUAUACAUGAUCGCCAUUUGAGGUCAUUUGGAGUUCAGCCAUGUGUAUCUACAGUAUUAGAAGAGCCUGCUAGAAACUGUGUGUUGGGAUUACAUAGUGACCAUCUAAGUGGUCUUCCUUUUGAGGUUCUGCAACAUAUUGCAGGCUUUCUCGAUGGCUUCAGUCUGUGCCAGCUUUCAUGUGUAUCCAAGUUAAUGAGGGAUGUGUGUGGCAGCUUGCUUCAGUCUCGUGGAAUGGUCAUACUGCAGUGGGGAAAAAGGAAGUAUCCAGAAGGAAAUUCAUCAUGGCAGAUAAAAGAAAAGGUGUGGCGAUUCAGUACUGCAUUUUGUUCUGUUAAUGAAUGGAAAUUUGCUGACAUCCUAAGCAUGGCUGACCACUUGAAGAAGUGCAGUUACAAUAUUGUAGAGAAACGGGAGGAAGCCAUCCCAUUGCCAUGCAUGUGUGUGACACGAGAACUCACGAAAGAAGGACGUUCACUGCGCUCAGUUUUAAAACCCGUACUUUAAAAACUGUAACUCCACUUGCACAUAUAUGCAAGCACCUAGUAUAAUUUCUUUGUAAUAUGUGACACUUUAUUAAUGUAUUAAAGAUUACAACUAGCUAAAUUUAUUGUCACUGUGUAUAUAAUGUUUUGAAGUGACAUAUAUUUUUAUAAAGUACUGUUUAGUUGGAAAAAAGUUGCCUUAAUGUUUGAAAUGUGUGAAACUUUUGGAACUUGCUGGACAGGGUGAACUAAUUUUUUGCUACAUAAUUUUCAGAAUUAGUAUUUUUAAUGGUGUGCAAAUUUUGGUUCUUAAAUUUUUUGCUUCUUAAACUAAUAAGAUCCUGACCAAACAUAUUUCCUCAUGUUUUUGUGGGUUGCAACCCAUACAUUCAAAAGCAAAAUUUUGAUUCACAUUUUUGCACAUAGGUUUUUCAGGUGAAAAAUUCAGUUGCUUAAACAUUGACAUAAGAUCCUUCUAAAGAUUUUAUAUUCUAAUGCUCCCUUUAUACAGUUGUUGACAUGUAGAUGGUUUCUAAUAUAUACUUAUAUAAUAUUUAAAAUUAUGACUAUUUGGUAAUGCCAUUUAUUACAUUUUAAAAAUAAUUCACAAAGAUGUAUUCACUGUAUGUAUUUACAGCUCUCCUUCAUAGAGUGGUUCAUACACAACUUUCUUUUUGUUAGAUGCCACAUCCAAAGACUGGCAACAUAUUAUAUGACAGGUUAAAGCAAAACAAACAAAAGCCUGUGAAUUUAUUUUAAUUUGAAGCUGUUCAUGGUAUUAUUUGCUAGGUAGUCGAUAUUAGUAGAGAAGAAAAUAUACCUCAUUUUAAGUUUGAAUUGGGCAUAUUGUGUAAAUAAAUUUAAAGCAUUCAGAAUGCAAAGGGCUUCCCUUUUUUUAUAAGUAUUUAAAAUUUUUGCUUUUUGAUGUUUAAAUAAAAUCACAACUCUGUUGCUUUAAGACAUUUGAAAAUGUGAAAUUUGGUAUCUUUGUAAGAUGACAAUCUUGAAAUGCAGAAACCUGUUGUGGUUGACAAUCUCCUUAAAACAGUUCCAGUUUAAUCUCCUAUAGCCUUCUCUAUCAAAAAAGUAAGAACUGCAUCUUUGUGUAAAGAUCAAGGUACAACAGAAAAAUAUUCAAAGACCUAUUCUUGAACUAUUUUAUUAUAGCUUUCCAAUUUAUUAAUACUAUUAUUAACCUGAUGUGGUCAGUUUAAAAAAUGAAUGUAUCAGUAUUUAGAAACAAAUUGCAAAGAUGGGGACAUGUAUUUAAAUAAUUUGUUUUAAGUAACUUCUGGCAUUUGGUAGUCUGAAAUGGUGACAAGUUACCUUGUUAUAAAAUAUCAAAACUCUAUUGUAUCUUUUCUUCCUACACUUGUCCCUGAGAGUGCUCUAUUGUUACUACGUUCUUGAUUCCCAUAUAUGGCAAUCAGGCUGGGCAGAGGCAUUCCUUGGGCAUUAGAAAAGAAUUCUAAACUGUUUAAAACUUGUUUUGGUUGAAUCAAGACCUUAUUAUUGUUGAAAGAUAUAGCACUAAAGUCUAAUCAAUUGUUUCACCUCACCUGUCAUUUUAAUUAGUGGAAUACUUAUUUCUCAGUGCUUAUACUUUCUUUUUCAACUGAGAUUGAAGGACAUAACCAGUCUCUAUUUCUGUGAAAACGUCAGAAAUAAGAUAUCAAAUAAUAUAACUCUGCCUUUUAAAGUUUUGUUGAAGAAUGUGUCUGGUUAGGAUAGCACAAACAUUAAGUUUUUGUUUUAUGGUUGUGCUUUUUAAAAUCCUUGGGUUUUAAGUUUAGACUUCUUGUUUCCAUACUGGAUCAUGAGAUAUUUAACAUUUUUCCACCGUUUAGUUCUUUUACACAUCAUUGGCUGUUUUCUUUUUUGUUUGUUAUGCCACCAUACUGUUUUGUUAAAAUGUGUUCUUUGUGCAACAUUUGUUCAAAUUCUAAUAAAAUUAAUAUUUUCCCUAUGCGGCUCAGUAACUUAAAAAGGAAAACUUUUAUUUAAAUAAAACUUAAUACUUGUUUAACAAAUUCCAAACACAGUCAUGCUGUUUCUGUAGAGUAUGUUUCUGCAUGUUACAGGAACUGCUUGUUGAUUAUUACUCACCCAUGUUUUACUGGUGAGCAUUAAAUUUCUUUUUUAAUAUGGGAAGUUUAUCAGCUUUCUGUGCCCCCUCAGUGUCUUCUUGAAAGUAGUCCCACCUGUGGGGUAUUGAAAGGCUGAAGAGUUUCUGGCAUUAUUAUUUUUCUAAAACUUGUAAUGGGCACAAUUUAUCUAGCCUUGUAAGCAUGAAAAGAUUUGUAUGACAUCCAAGUGAAUUGUCAUUUGAGAAGUCUUUGUUAGUCUUUGCUAACCAUCAAGAUAAAGUGGCAAGUGUAGGAUGGAGGGAAAUAAUCUGAAUUCACUUUUAUCUGCUGUCUCCUUCCUCAGAACUGCCUGUUAUUUUAGUUCCUUCCCUCCCUCUCCUCCCUUCUCCCUCCUCUCCCUCCCUCCCUCCCCCAUAAACUCUGGGAUUGGAGCCAGCAAUCUGUUUUAACAAAAGACCUUCACGUGAUUAUGAUUCACAGUAAAGUAUGACAACUUAGAGGAAAGACUGGAACAUGCCAGCUGUUCUCUUGAUGUGUUACUGGAGUGGGUAAAUGUGUGUAUGUAUAUACAUGUGUAAUCCAAAAUUAUGAGUUAAUGGUUAAGUUAAAUGAUAUAGUUGUGUUAAUAUUAUAACCAUGUGAGAAAAUACAUUGGGUACCAUGGUUUUUGGACAUUUUAAAGUAUUUAUAAUAUUUUAAAUUUACUGUUACUAGUGUUCUGUUCAAGGUAAAUUGUAAUGCAACUUACAGUUCAUCAGCACUUACAUUUAGCCUAGUUAUCAAUUUUUCUCUUGUUUAGUGGUUACAGAGUGAUGUGAAUGUAUUAGAUUUCUAGGAUAAGUAAAGAGUGUAGAAGUAGAUAAAUACUGGAUUAAACCCUACAAAAAUAUUUGUAGGAAUCCUUUCAACCCUAUCAAUGAAGGAUUUUAAAGGUUGAAUUGUUAGUUUAUCAAUAGCAUAAAAUCUUUUUUGGUCUUUGACCAUGUGUUGCAUACAUACCCCAUCAAUAUUGUUGCUGUUUGCUAUCCCUUAACAUUGGGUAUUGGGAUCAUAGUAACAUUGAAGAUAAUGGGGUCAAUAAAACUUUCAUAUUCUUUGAAGACAGGGUAGUUUUAUUACUAUAUUGAUAACAGAUUUUUACCUCUGGUGGUUUGAAUGCAUUGUUUGGCAUUUAGGCGCAAAACACAUUUAAGUUUUGCAUCUCAACUUAAGAAUGGGGUUUAUUAAUAUUUAAAAAUGUCUAAGGAGUAGUUAUGCAAACAUAAAACUGUGUGUUUCAUGCAUGACACCACAUUAGAAGGUGAUAUGACUGGGUCCUGCAGAGGUGGGUGUUUAGAACUGCAGCAGAAGGAAAGCAAUUGGCCCAUUCUUUCAAAAGGCUGGACUAAGCUUUGGAUGGAAAGAAUUUCUUGGAUAUGUGUUUGGCUGAUCAGCUAAAUACUGUUCUAAGUAAUCUUACUUAACAUGCUCAUGAGGCCUAGGAAGAGAAUAUUAGUUAUGCCUUUAAACAAAAUCAGCUCAUCAGUGACUUGUCCAUUGUGUUAAAAUAAUUCAAUAUGGGUUUCCUUAGGAUUUGAUCUAAAUCUGAUUUCAAACAAAAACAUCUGUAGAAGUAGAGGCCAACUCUAAAGGAGUAAACUUUCUAAAUAAGGAAAGAAGAAUGGUUUCUUUCUAAAGUCGCCUUCCGUGGAAUUACUUUGAUUUAAAGGAUCAAAGUAAGUUCAAAAAGAUGUUCUUUAAGUUUCCAAUAUAUGGGUAGAAAACUGCGGCUCUCCAAGUUUAGGUAUUGAUGAGUGUGGAGGUAUUUUGAGAGAAAUGUGCCCCGGCAUGGUUCAUUUUUCUACUUUACAAAUACAGAAAGAGAAAGGACAUUUAGAUAUAAGGAAAUUACUUUGGAAAAUAUCGUUGCCUAGAAUGUUUGAUUCCUAAUAAGUGUUCAGAAAGAGUUUUGGGUAAUACCAAAAAGAAAAGUAGAAACUAAGUAAGGUAUGUUGCUCUGAAAAUCCUUUGCAAAAACUAGUGUCUUUUGCUGAAAUGGUUUCAAGUAUUUGCACCUGUGAGUAGUAACAUUCUAUAAAUUCAUUGUUUAUAUGUAUAUUUAUUUGCAUGUAUAAUCUCCAUAAAUUGGCCAAGUAGAUUUUAAUAUAUCUUGAGAUGUAUUAAUGGAGAUACAUCUUGAGGUGCUUUUUUCUAAAUCUUAGAAUGUUUCAAAACUGACAUUUUUUAUUCAGAAUGUUUGAUGUUCCAAUGUAUUAUGUGGGAAGUGACUUUUCAUUAAUGAACUACAAAGAAAUAGGUUAAAAGGAUGAGUUUUAAAAUGCUUUAUAGAAAUACAGUAGAAACUCAUUGAUAUGAAUCUAUUAUAUAUUUUUAAAAUAUUUUUGACUUGCUGGACUGAAGUGAGUAGUCUUUACUAUGAAGAAAAGCAUUUCUAAAGCAAACUGAAAAACAAGGGAAAUAUGUUUCUUUUUUCACGAACACCAAUAAAAUCUCAAGCACCCCCAAGUCAUUAUUAGUCCAUUUGCAUGCAAAUAGGAGAUGGUUCUUCAAUGCAUAGCUAGUUCUAGUGGUGGUAAUAGUGUAUGUGUUUGAAAGUAAUAAGACAACAUUUCUUUUGAAUUAUUUAAGAUUGGCAAAAUCAUCAGGUCAAAUUAUUUUUUCCCAGUAAAAGCAGAUAAAUCAGGUUUAAUUUUUUACCUUUUUCUAAUAUAAAUUUAGAAUUUUCUCAAGACAAUAUCCUUAAACAGAUAAAUAGGUUUAUAUGUCUUGGUUCAUUCCUUGGCAGAAGGGCUGACUGGUUAGAUUUCUAUGCCAGUCAAAGAGUAACAUCAACUGUUACAUUAUCAUUAUUCAGUGGUCUAAUAUAAGAACAGUAGCAAUAAUUUGUUAUUGCUCAAAAGAUUGAAGUUGAAAAAAGGAGACCCUGCCCUUUGCUAUUCUCUAGAUGCUUUUUUCAUUGAACCCCCCCCACCCCAUUAAUUUAUAUUAUUGCUUUUUAUUCCAUAACUUGAAUUUUCUUACCAGGUGAUCAAAAAACCUAGUUUUGCUAAUCAGCCUGUGAUUAGUAAUUUUUGUCCAUACGUUUACAUUUUAUUAAGUAACUUCAACUUUUAAAGUAUCUCAGCUCAAAAAUUUGUAGUAUGGAAAAAUUGAAGUAUUCAAGUUUAACCGUAUUAUUUAAUUAAAAGAAACCAAACCAUAGAAAUGGAAGCCAUCAUGGGUACUGCAUCCGGUCAAGAGUAGAACUAUCCAGUGAAUAUUUAAUUAUGUCAAAUGGAUGGCUUCAUAUCAAUUGAUAACUUUUAAAAAUUGUUACCUGUAUUAGAGAUUUGAAGUAAAGUGGAGAAUGGUAUUAAUUCCCUACAUUCCAAUAGUUUUGUGAUGAAAACUAUGACAUGAAUUGCUUUGAAUGAUUAAUAAUUUGGUGGACAUGAAUUCUAAAGAUUUUUAUGUUACAUUUAAAAUGUUAAAACUGUAUUGUUCAUUUGAUCAGUGUUUAAGCACCAGUCAAUCCUGAACACUUGAAUUGCAUUCUGAAAGGUAAUUGCACUGACUCCUUUACUUACCUCAGAGGUCAUUAUAUCUCUUUUUGAUAAUUUACAUUAAUAAGUGUUUUCUUCUUAAAUGUGAAUGGAUAUGGUUUUUCUUGAAAAAAGUAUUCAGUGAAAAGCUAGAGACAAAAGGCCACCUAUUGUAUGAUUCCAUUUAUAUGAAAUACAUAUCCAGAAUGGGCAAGUCCAUGGAGACAAAUCAGAUUAAUCAGCUAGGAGCUGGGGAAGUGACUGUUAAUGGGUACUGGUUUCCUUGUGGUGAUGAAAAUAUGCUAGAACCAGAUAAUGUGGAUUGCACAACAUUGUGAAUUUUCUAAAUGCCACUGAAUUGUACAACUGUGACAGUAAUUGGCUUCAAUGUCAACGUUCAUUUUUCACCUUUUGCAUUUUUUUAUGAUUCCUUGUGGCACAUGUCAAUUUAAAGGUCCGUAUUUAAUAUCAUGCUUUGAAGAAAUUUAUAAAUAAUUUUCAGGAUUAUUUUUAUAGUUUUAUACUUUGUUUUCCUUUUAAAGAACAAAUACAAUGAUGUGUUAGAUAAGACUAAAUUAAUAAAUUGAAUUACUGUA